rnacentral:ncRNA from 1 species
GAGAACACAGUGAAGAAGAGUAGUACAUCUGAUCACCACUUACAGAGAGUCCAUGGACGGUGGAAAUGGACAGUCGGAACAGAUGGAAUGGACUUCGGAGUGGCUGAUUCGAAAUCAUGUAGAAUCAGACGGGUCUGCCCGUUACAGCAAAUGAGCGGCUAGUGUUCUAGCAACUUGGGUGGCAACGCGAUGACUCGUCCCUUGA